UCUAAUAUGGCAGAAUAGUGCAAUGAAUUUAAGCUUCAUAUAUAAAGAUAUAAUCUUUUUUUAGAA
rnacentral:tRNA from 1 species